AUUGAACGCUGGCGGCAGGCCUAACACAUGCAAGUCGAGCGAGCGGCGGACGGGUGAGUACUGUCUGGGAAACUGCCUGAUGGAGGGGGAUAACUACUGGCAACGGUAGCUAAUACCGCAUACCAUCAGAUGUGCCCAGAUGGGAGUAGCUAGUAGGUGGGGUAAGGGCUCACCUAGGCGACGAUCCCUAGCUGGUCUGGGAGGCAGACCAGCCACACUGUAACUGAGACACGGUCCAGACGCCUAGGGGAGGCGGCAGUGGGGAAUAUUGCACAAUGGGCGCAAGCCUGAUGCAGCCAUGGCGCGUGGGUGAAGAAGGCCUUCGGGUUGUAAAGCACUUUCAGCGAGGAGGCGUUACUCGCAGAGGAAGCACAGGCUAACUCCGUGCCAGCAGCCGCGGUAAUAC
rnacentral:rRNA from 1 species